GACGAACCGUCCUAACGUUGUUCGGAAUCACUGGGCGUAAAGCGCACGUAGGCGGAUUCUUAAGUCGGGGGUGAAAUCCUGGAGCUCAACUCCAGAACUGCCUUCGAUACUGGGAAUCUUGAGUCCGGAAGAGGUGAGUGGAACUGCGAGUGUAGAGGUGAAAUUCGUAGAUAUUCGCAAGAACACCAGUGGCGAAGGCGGCUCACUGGUCCGGUACUGACGCUGAGGUGCGAAAGCGUGGGGAGCAAACAGG
rnacentral:rRNA from 1 species